GACGAACGCUGGCGGCGUGCCUAAUACAUGCAAGUCGAACGCAGUGGGGACGGGUGAGUAACACGUGGGUAACCUCCCAUCAGAGGGGAUAACACUUGGAAACAGGUGCUAAACCGAUACUGAUGGAUGGACCCGCGGUGCAUUAGCUAGUUGGUGAGGUAACGGCUCACCAAUGCCACGAUGCAUAGCCGACGGGAUAGGGUGAUCGGCGACACGGGUACUGAUACGCUGCCCAGACUCCUAGGAGAGGCAGCAGUAGGGAAUCGUCGGCAAUGGACGAAAGUCUGGCCGAGCUACGCCACGUGAGUGAAGAAGGUUUUCGGAUCGUAAAACUCUGUUGUUAGAGAAGCGGUAUCUAACCAGAAAGCCACGGCUAACUACGUGCCAGCCGCCGCGGUAAUUC
rnacentral:rRNA from 1 species